rnacentral:rRNA from 1 species
AGGAGGCAGCAGUGAGGAAUUUUCCGCAAUGGACGCAAGUCUGACGGAGCAACGCCGCGUGCAGGAGGAAGGUCUUCGGAUCGUAAACUGCUUUUCCCAGGGAAGAGAACGGACGGUACCUGGGGAACAAGCCUCGGCUAACUACGUGCCAGCAGCCGCGGUAAUACGUAGGAGGCAAGCGUUGUCCGGAGUUACUGGGCGUAAAGCGCACGCAGGCGGUCCACCGCGUUUGAGGUAACAGCUCCCGGCUUCACUGGGAGAGCGCCCCAAAGACGGGUGGACUCAGAGGACCAGAGAGGGACAGAGAAUUCCGGGUGGAGUGGUGAAAUGCGUAGAUAUCCGGAGGAAUACCGAAGGCGAAGGCCCUGUCCUGGUUGGUUCCUGACGCUCAGGUGCGAAAGCUAGGGGAGCGAACGGGAUUAGAUACCCCGGUAGUCCG